rnacentral:lncRNA from 15 species
AUUUCGUGUCCACAUUAAAUAUUUUGUUAUUUCUUUGUUUCUAGGGAAUGGUCCAGGAGUGUCUGACUGAAGACAACUCCUGUUACUUCACACACACAGUGUGUGGACGACACUAUCACUUCACAGUGUACUCCGUCACAGAGGGGUGCAGAAGCGGGAUUAGCUCUACUGUUGACAUUAGCACGGCACCCUGUAUUCCUCAGAAUCUGCAAACUGCAGCCGACUGCAGCACAGAUCUGCUGCUCAGCAAGUGGGACCACGCUGAAGGGGCUUUACGUUACACUGUGGAGGCCUUUGGCAACAGGGGAAACAACAGCAAAUACACCUGCAACACAACAUCCAACAGCUGUGCUAUAAGUGGCAUCCAUUGUGGAGAGUAUUUGACCAUUUACAUCACAGCUUUUGACGAUGAAUGUGCCAGCCCAAGGACACUCGGGCCCGUGGCUGACACAGGUGAGGAUAAGCUGUUAUGGACUGUUUAUUAGAUAUCAGCAAGAAGCAUUAAGAUCUUUUACUUAGACUAAAGCUUACUUAAGUAAUGGAAAGGAGGUACUGUAUUAUGAACAAUGGCCCCUGUGUCACUCUUUAGUUGCAUCCCUAGUUUUAAUACCUUUCAAAGAUAACUGCUUCAA